rnacentral:rRNA from 1 species
ACGUAGGGUGCAAGCGUUAAUCGGAAUUACUGGGCGUAAAGCGUGCGCAGGCGGUUGUGCAAGACAGAUGUGAAAUCCCCGGGCUUAACCUGGGAACUGCAUUUGUGACUGCACGGCUAGAGUGUGUCAGAGGGGGGUAGAAUUCCACGUGUAGCAGUGAAAUGCGUAGAUAUGUGGAGGAAUACCGAUGGCGAAGGCAGCCCCCUGGGAUAACACUGACGCUCAUGCACGAAAGCGUGGGGAGCAAACAGGA